AGCGAACGCUGGCGGCAGGCCUAAUACAUGCAAGUCGAGCGGUCCCUUCGGGGGCAGCGGCGGACGGGUGAGUAACGCGUGGGAACGUGCCCUUUGGUACGGAACAACUGAGGGAAACUUCAGCUAAUACCGUAUGUGCCCUUCGGGGGAAAGAUUCAUCGCCAUUGGAGCGGCCCGCGUUAGAUUAGCUAGUUGGUAGGGUAAUGGCCUACCAAGGCGACGAUCUAUAGCUGGUCUGAGAGGAUGAUCAGCCACACUGGGACUGAGACACGGCCCAGACUCCUACGGGAGGCAGCAGUAGGGAAUCUUGCGCAAUGGGCGAAAGCCUGACGCAGCCAUGCCGCGUGAAUGAUGAAGGUCUUAGGAUUGUAAAAUUCUUUCACCGGGGACGAUUAUGACGGUACCCGGAGAAGAAGNCCCGGCUAACUUCGUG
rnacentral:rRNA from 1 species